rnacentral:rRNA from 1 species
GACGAACUCUGGCGGCGUGCUUAACACAUGCAAGUCGAACGGUAAGGCUCCAGCUUGCUGGGGUACACGAGUGGCGAACGGGUGAGUAACACGUGGGUGACCUGCCCUGCACUUCGGGAUAAGCCUGGGAAACUGGGUCUAAUACCAGAUAGGACCGCACCGUGAGGGUGUGGUGGAAAGUUUUUUCGGUGUGGGAUGGGCCCGCGGCCUAUCAGCUUGUUGGUGGGGUAAUGGCCUACCAAGGCGGCGACGGGUAGCCGGCCUGAGAGGGUGGACGGCCACAUUGGGACUGAGACACGGCCCAGACUCCUACGGGAGGCAGCAGUGGGGAAUAUUGCACAAUGGGCGGAAGCCUGAUGCAGCGACGCCGCGUGGGGGAUGACGGCCUUCGGGUUGUAAACUCCUUUCACCAUCGACGAAGGGUUUCUGACGGUAGAUGGAGAAGAAGCACCGGCUAACUACGUGCCAGCAGCCGCGGUAAUACGUAGGGUGCGAGCGUUGUCCGGAAUUACUGGGCGUAAAGAGCUCGUAGGUGGUUUGUCGCGUCGUCUGUGAAAUUCCGGGGCUUAACUCCGGGCGUGCAGGCGAUACGGGCAUAACUUGAGUACUGUAGGGGAGACUGGAAUUCCUGGUGUAGCGGUGAAAUGCGCAGAUAUCAGGAGGAACACCGGUGGCGAAGGCGGGUCUCUGGGCAGUAACUGACGCUGAGGAGCGAAAGCAUGGGGAGCGAACAGGAUUAGAUACCCUGGUAGUCCAUGCCGUAAACGGUGGGCGCUAGGUGUGGGUUUCCUUCCACGGGAUCCGUGCCGUAGCUAACGCAUUAAGCGCCCCGCCUGGGGAGUACGGCCGCAAGGCUAAAACUCAAAGGAAUUGACGGGGGCCCGCACAAGCGGCGGAGCAUGUGGAUUAAUUCGAUGCAACGCGAAGAACCUUACCUGGGCUUGACAUAUACAGGAUCGCGCCAGAGAUGGUGUUUCCCUUGUGGCUUGUAUACAGGUGGUGCAUGGUUGUCGUCAGCUCGUGUCGUGAGAUGUUGGGUUAAGUCCCGCAACGAGCGCAACCCUUGUCUUAUGUUGCCAGCACGUUGUGGUGGGGACUCGUAAGAAACUGCCGGGGUUAACUCGGAGGAAGGUGGGGAUGACGUCAAAUCAUCAUGCCCCUUAUGUCCAGGGCUUCACACAUGCUACAAUGGUCGGUACAGUGGGUUGCCAGUCCGUGAGGGCGAGCUAAUCCCGCAAAGCCGGUCUCAGUUCGGAUCGGGGUCUGCAACUCGACCCCGUGAAGUCGGAGUCGCUAGUAAUCGCAGAUCAGCAACGCUGCGGUGAAUACGUUCCCGGGCCU